UGGCGGUUGCGAGUCUUACCAUGCAAGUCGAGCGGUAAGGCCCUUCGGGGUACACGAGCGGCGAACGGGUGAGUAACACGUGAGCAACCUGCCCCUGACUCCGGGAUAAGCGGUGGAAACGCCGUCUAAUACCGGAUACGACCCGCCACCUCAUGGUGGAGGGUGGAAAGUUUUUCGGUCAGGGAUGGGCUCGCGGCCUAUCAGCUUGUUGGUGGGGUAACGGCCUACCAAGGCGAUUACGGGUAGCCGGCCUGAGAGGGCGACCGGCCACACUGGGACUGAGACACGGCCCAGACUCCUGCGGGAGGCAGCAGUGGGGAAUAUUGCGCAAUGGGCGAAAGCCUGACGCAGCGACGCCGCGUGGGGGAUGACGGCCUUCGGGUUGUAAACCUCUUUUACCACCAACGCAGGCUCGAAGUUCUCUUCGGGUUGACGGUAGGUGGGGAAUAAGGACCGGCUAACUACGUGCCAGCAGCCGCGGUAAUACGUAGGGUCCGAGCGUUGUCCGGAAUUAUUGGGCGUAAAGAGCUCGUAGGCGGCGUGUCGCGUCUGCUGUGAAAGACCGGGGCUUAACUCCGGUUCUGCAGUGGAUACGGGCAUGCUAGAGGUAGGUAGGGGAGACUGGAAUUCCUGGUGUAGCGGUGAAAUGCGCAGAUAUCAGGAGGAACACCGGUGGCGAAGGCGGGUCUCUGGGCCUUACCUGACGCUGAGGAGCGAAAGCAUGGGGAGCGAACAGGAUUAGAUACCCUGGUAGUCCAUGCCGUAAACGUUGGGCGCUAGGUGUGGGGACUUUCCACGGUUUCCGCGCCGUAGCUAACGCAUUAAGCGCCCCGCCUGGGGAGUACGGCCGCAAGGCUAAAACUCAAAGGAAUUGACGGGGGCCCGCACAAGCGGCGGAGCAUGUUGCUUAAUUCGACGCAACGCGAAGAACCUUACCAAGGUUUGACAUCACCCGUGGACUCGCAGAGAUGUGAGGUCAUUUAGUUGGCGGGUGACAGGUGGUGCAUGGCUGUCGUCAGCUCGUGUCGUGAGAUGUUGGGUUAAGUCCCGCAACGAGCGCAACCCUUGUUCCAUGUUGCCAGCACGUAAUGGUGGGGGACUCAUGGGAAAACUGCCGGGGGUCAACUCCGAAGGAAGGUGGGGGAUGACGUCAAGUCAUCAUGCCCCUUUAUGUCUUGGGGCUGCAAACAUGGCUACAAUGGGCCGGUACAAUGGGGCUUGCGAAACCCGUAAGGUGGGAACGGAUCCCUUAAAAACCCGGGCUUCCGUUUCGGAAUUGGGGGCUUGCCAACUCCAACCCCCG
rnacentral:rRNA from 1 species